rnacentral:rRNA from 1 species
AUGAACGCUGGCGGCGCGCCUAACACCUGCAAGUCGCACGAUUAAAGCACCUUCGGGUGUGUAUAAAGUGGCGAACGGCUGAGUAACACGUGGGCAACCUGCCCCUUUCAUUGGGAUAGCCACGGGAAACCGUGGAUAAUACCGAAUACUUCGAGACUUCCGCAUGGAAGACUCGAGAAAGCUCCGGCGGAGAGGGAUGGGCCCGCGGCCUGUUCGCUUGUUUGUGGGGUAACGGCCUACCAAGGCAAUGAUGGGUAGCUGGGUUGAGAGACCGACCAGCCAGAUUGGGACUGAGACACGGCCCAGACGCCUACGGGAGGCAGCAGUGGGGAAUCUUGCACAAUGGGCGAAAGCCUGAUGCAGCGACGCCGCGUGCGGGAUGAAGGCCUUCGGGUUGUAAACCGCUUUCAGCAGGGACGAGGCGAAAGUGACGGUACCUGCAGAAGAAGCCCCGGCUAACUACGUG